GACGAACGCUGGCGGCGUGCUUAACACAUGCAAGUCGAACGAUGAAGCCGGAGCUUGCUCCGGUGGAUUAGUGGCGAACGGGUGAGUAACACGUGAGCAAUCUGCCCUUGACUCUGGGAUAACUGCGGGAAACUGUAGCUAAUACCGGAUACGACACCUUGGGGCAUCCCAGGGUGUGGAAAGAAUUUCGGUCAAGGAUGAGCUCGCGGCCUAUCAGCUAGUUGGUGAGGUAAUGGCUCUCCAAGGCGACGACGGGUAGCCGGCCUGAGAGGGUGACCGGCCACACUGGAACUGAGACACGGUCCAGACUCCUACGGGAGGCAGCAGUGGGGAAUAUUGCACAAUGGGCGAAAGCCUGAUGCAGCAACGCCGCGUGAGGGAUGAAGGCCUUCGGGUUGUAAACCUCUUUUAGCAGGGAAGAAGCGAAAGUGACGGUACCUGCGGAAAAAGCACCGGCUAACUACGUGCCAGCAGCCGCCGUAA
rnacentral:rRNA from 1 species